UUCUGGUGUAAAUUUUGAAAGAGAGACGGUUAAAGCUUUCUUACAACGAUAACAACAAUCCGGAACAAUGGUCGAUUCGAUAUGUGCAAUCUGCUCAUAAUCAGACGCCGGGAUCCCUACGCGGUCACAUGAACACCUCGGUGUCCACGCCGCAGAGAACCUGGUGCCUCUCAUGUAUGCAA